rnacentral:rRNA from 1 species
CAAUAGCGUAUAUUAAAGUUGUUGCAGUUAAAAAGCUCGUAGUUGAAUUUUUGCUUGCCGCCGAUGUCGGAACUUCCGUACGUUCGGCGGCGUGCAUCCUUGGGUGGAACCUGUGUGGCAUUAGGUUGUCGUGCAGGGGAUGCUCAUCGUUUACUGUGAAAAAAUUAGAGUGUUCAAAGCAGGCUUAUGCCGUUGAAUAUAUUAGCAUGGAAUAAUAAGAUAGGACCUUGGUACUAUUUUGUUGGUUUGCGCACCGAGGUAAUGAUUAACAGGGACAGUUGGGGGUAUUCGUAUUCCAUUGUCAGAGGUGAAAUUCUUGGAUUUCUGGAAGACGAACUACUGCGAAANCANNNACCAAGGAUGUUUUCAUNAA